rnacentral:misc_RNA from 1 species
GAUGAAGAACGCAGCGAAAUGCGAUAAGUAAUGUGAAUUGCAGAAUUCAGUGAAUCAUCGAAUCUUUGAACGCACAUUGCGCCCGCCAGUAUUCUGGCGGGCAUGCCUGUCCGAGCGCCAUUUCAACCCUCGAACCCCUCCGGGGGGUCGGCGUUGGGGACCUCGGGAGCCCCUAAGACGGGAUCCCGGCCCCGAAAUACAGUGGCGGUCUCGCCGCAGCCUCUCCUGCGCAGUAGUUUGCACAACUCGCACCGGGAGCGCGGCGCGUCCACGUCCGUAAAACACCCAACUUCUGAAAUGUUGACCUCGGAUCAGGUAGGAAUACCCGCUGAACUUAAGCAUAUCAAUAAGCGGAGGA